UUUAAUUAACGCCGUUGACUUUUGGAUCUAGGUUUGACCUUUCGUCUUAUUCAACAAAAUUAUAUAAUUAUUGAUUAUUUUGUUAUGAUUUGAUUUAUUACUAAAGUAACUUUAAGUAGGAUUUACAAGUUUGCAUAUUUGAACAAAAAUUUUGAAUAAGACGAAGGGUCAAACAUAAAUCCAAAUGUCAAUUGCGUCAAUUAAA
rnacentral:pre_miRNA from 1 species